rnacentral:rRNA from 1 species
GACGUAGGGCGCGAGCGUUGUCCGGAUUUAUUGGGCGUAAAGAGCUCGUAGGCGGCUUGUCGCGUCGAAUGUGAAAUUUUAGGGCUCAACCCUGACAUUGCAUUCGAUACGGGCAGGCUUGAGUUCGGUAGGGGAGACUGGAAUUCCUGGUGUAGCGGUGAAAUGCGCAGAUAUCAGGAGGAACACCGGUGGCGAAGGCGGGUCUCUGGGCCGAUAUUGACGCUGAGGAGCGAAAGCGUGGGGAGCGAACAGG